CUUGCCAGCCUUUGUGUUCACUGUUUGGGUGGAAUGAAGGGAGAGUUCGGUUUCCAUGACCUGUCUUUGUUCUCCUCUUGGUUCGAGAGAUGGGAUUUUCUUUGUUUGCCUGUUAGCCACUUCUGGCGUGAAUGAAGCUUUCAUGUCGGCGAAGCGGCUUUAGAUUUGUUCUCUGUUGCUUUUUGCAGCAGAGUGGGACGCGACACAGCCUUACCAUAUAGCUCCCUGCCCUACUGCCAACAUUCGUCCUGUCCGCCAGGUUUAAGAGCCUAUCUACUAUUUUUGGCCAUUGUAUGUUUUUUCCUCCAUGAUCAGAGGACUAAAACUACAUGAGGCAGUGUGUUUUCAGUGAUAUAAUUUGGGAGAGUCACUGCAAACUGACUCUUUCAAAUGAGCUUUCCACCCAACACUCGCAGAUCUCUUAUUGCGACCUGGAGCACACAGAAAUAUGUCCAAAACGGUGGGAUUUGCAGCAAUGGAGUGGGGAUGUUAGGAAAGUGCAGAAUUUUAAUAUAUAGAAGGCCACUUUCAUUUCGUCAGGGCAUUUUCAGGCCAGCAUGAGGGUUGGGAGUACAACUUGUUGAAGCUGACCUUAGUGUGGAAAAACAAAGUUGUCUCUUGCCAGCCUCAAUGAAGGAUUUCCCGUUACUGGACCACAACUUGUCCC